rnacentral:rRNA from 1 species
AUGCAAGCCUGGCCGGUGCCCUCCACACCAACUGAACUACGGGGUUUCCUUGGCCUAACCGGCUACUACCGCAAGUUCGUUCUGCACUACGGCAUCACCGUGAAGCCGCUCACCCAGCUCCUGACCAAGAAAGGAUUCGAAUGGAGCGACAAGGCCCAGCAGGCGUUCUACAUGCUCAAGCAGGCCAUGGUGAGCACACUAGUGCUGGCGCUUCCAGAUUUCUCACGCCCCUUCGCCAUCGAGACCGAUGCUUGUGACACGGGCGUGGGCGCGGUGCUCACCCAGGACGGCCAUCCCAUCGCCUACCACAGCAAGGCCCUGGGGGUGAAGAACCAGAAGUUGUCCACGUAUGAGAAGGAAUUCCUGGCGGUCAUGAUGGCCAUCCACAAGUGGAGGCCCUAUCUGCAGCGUGCCCCGUUCAAAAUCGUCACCGACCACAAGAGCCUCUGCACGCUCGGCGAUCAACAGCUGGUGACUGAGCUGCAGCGCAAGGCCAUGUCCAAGAUGGUGGGCCUGCAAUUCACCUUCCGAUACAAGAAAGGUGUCGACAAUGGCGUCGCUGACGCACUUUCCAGGGUUGGACAUCUACUGACACUCGACGCGCUGUCAGUCUGUCAGCCACAGUGGUUGCAAGAGGUCACCAACUCCUACGAGACCGACCCUGAAUCACAAGAACUCCUGACCAAGCUGGCAGUCACCACCUCGGAUGAUCAAGGGCGCACUCUUCAGAACGGCGUGAUCCGGCAGCGCGGGCGCAUGUGGAUUGGGGCCAAUUCCGCGCUGCAGACCAAGCUGAUCGCCGCUCUGCAUCACAGUGUUGUUAGUGGCCACUCCGGCGCCACGGCCACAUAUCAUCGCGUCUGGAAGCUGUUCGCUUGGCCGGGCCUGAAGCGCGCCGUGGAGGACUUUGUCAGGCAGUGCGCCGUCUGUCAACAUGCCAAGCACGAGCACACGCAUCCCGCCGGCAAGCUUCAACCUCUACCAAUCCCUACCGAACCAUGGCACGAUCUGACCAUGGAUUUCGUCGAGGGGCUGCCCAAGUCUGAGAGGUCUGACGCCAUCAUGGUUGUCGUCGAUCGUCUGACCAAGUACGCGCACUUCAUUCCUCUUCAUCACCCCUUCACCGCUGCCCAAGUCGCCUGA